GCCCGGAUGGCGGAAUUGGCAGACGCAGGGGACUUAAAAUCCCCAGGUCGAAAGGCUGUGAGGGUUCAAACCCCUCUCCGGGCACCA
rnacentral:tRNA from 2 species